CAGGAUGAACGCUGGCGGCGUGCCUAACACAUGCAAGUCGAACGGGGUUAAGACGCUGAUGAUGGAGAUGCUUGCAUCAAAAGAAUCUUGUUUAACUUAGUGGCGGACGGGUGAGUAACGUGUGGAUAACCUGGCCCAUACAGGGGGAUAGCAGCUGGAAACGGCUGAUAAUACCGCAUAAGCGCACAAUAUCGCAUGGUAAAGUGUGAAAAGAUUUAUCGGUAUGGGAUGGAUCCGCAUCUGAUUAGCCAGUUGGCGGGGUAAAGGCCCACCAAAGCGACGAUCAGUAGCCGGCCUGAGAGGGCGGACGGCCACAUUGGGACUGAGACACGGCCCAGACUCCUACGGGAGGCAGCAGUGGGGGAUAUUGCACAAUGGGGGGAACCCUGAAUGCAGCGACGCCGCGUGGGUGAAGAAGUAUUUCGGUAUGUAAAGCCCUAUCAGCAGGGACGAUAAUGACGGUACCUGAGUAAGAAGCCCCGGCUAACUACGUGCCAGCCGCGGC
rnacentral:rRNA from 1 species